rnacentral:rRNA from 1 species
GAUUAGGUAGGGAUACCCGCUGAACUUAAGCAUAUCAAUAAGCGGAGGA